rnacentral:rRNA from 1 species
AACGAACGCUGGCGGCGUGCCUAACACAUGCAAGUCGAGCGAGAAAGGGGUGGCAACACCCUGAGUAAAGCGGCGAACGGGUGAGUAACGCGUGGGCAAUCUACCUUCCAGUCUGGGAUAACCUUCCGGAAAGGGGGCUAAUACCGGAUGAUGUCCUGUUGGGGCAUCCUGAGGGGAGCGAAAGGGGGCGACCCGCAAGGGGCUCUCGCUGGAGGAGGAGCCUGCGUCCGAUUAGCUAGUGGGUGGGGUAACGGCUCACCAAGGCGACGAUCGGUAGCCGGCCUGAGA